GAGACAUUUUUCCAAGGAAGAUAUGCAAAUGAUAAAUAAGCAUAUGAAAAGAUGCUCAGCAUCAUUAGUCAUAAGAGAAAUUCAAAUGAAAGCCUCAGUGAGAUACCACUUCACACACAUUAGGAUGGAUAGAAUCGAAAGGUCAAAUGGUAACAAGUGUUGACAAAAAUCACAUACUGCUGGUGGUAAUAUGAAAUGGAAAAGUCACUUUGGAAACCACUCUGGCACAUUCCUUAAAUGAUUAAACACAGAGCUACUGUAUGACCCAGCAGUCCUACUCCUAGGUAUAUAAGAAAAAAUUAAAAAAUAAAACAAAAAUAUAUGUCUGUACAAAAGUCGUACACAAAUGUUUAUAACAGCAUUAUUCAUCAAGCCAAAAAAGUGGAAACAACCCAAAUGUCCAUCAACUGACAAAAAUGUGACAAUGGGAUAUUAUUCAGCCAUAAAAAGGCAUAAUUUCCAGAUACCUGCAACAAUAGGAUGAUCAUGGAAAACAUCAUGCUGAGUGAAGGAAGCCAGAUACUAAGGAAUGGUGGCCAUGAUUUAGGGAGAAGUGAGGGUUUGAGUGUGAACUGGUGGUUUAUGCCAAGGGAAUCUCGGCUACUACUUACAACAUGGAUAAAUCUCUAAACAUUGUGCUGAAUGAAAGAAGUCGCAACCAACAGACACUCUUCUGUACAAUUCCAUUUAUAUGAAGUUCUAGAAUAGGCAAUCUAGAGUUCAUCUGUGAUGAAAAAAAUAAAUCAGGUCACUGGUUGCUUCUUGGGCUUUUGGAGUACAGAGGAACUGACUGGAAAAGUACAGGAAGGAACUUUCUAGGGUGUUGGACAUGUUCUAUAGGUUGGUCAGAGUUUGAGUUUACACAAGUUUUUUUGUUUAUAAAAACUCAGGGAAUGAUAGACUUAAGACUUAUACCUUUCAGUGUAUGCAAUUUUACUCCAACCAAAGAACCAUAAACAAUAUUGACUCCUGUUGCAUGUAAUGUUGCAUGUUGCUGUGUUUAGAGGGAGACCACACUGAUGACAGCCAUGUACUUUGAAAUGUAUUAAGAUAGAUUGAUAGAUGGAUAGAUUCACAAAUAUAACAAAAUGUUAACAAUUGUAGAAACUAGGUAGGUUUCUACAAUUUGGUAGGUUUAUACCUGUGCACUAUACAAUUUCCAUCCACUUUUCUGCGUGCUUGACAUUUUUUUUAUUAAAGGAAAUAUCAUGAACUGCAAGUAAAUAGAAAUCUUAUCCUGAUUUCUAGUAGAUACCUAGAACAAUCUGAUGAAAACUCUGUACCUCUUCUCAAAGGCAUCCAUUCCAACGGAAACAAGAUGUUGCUCACAUCUUGUGAGCAUGGACCUCCUAAAGCCUAUUUGUGGACCACUGAUAUGGCCAAAGAGUUAAUGACUUCAUGGCUGUCCAGAUGUAGAUGAGGGGAAAGGAGUGAAAAGCAAUUGGGAGAAUUUUGGGAAAAUACAGGGGGAGAAUGGUGGUGUAAUUAUAAUUGGAAACUGACACAUUGUAACUAUAUGAUCAUGUUUCUGUUACUGAUUUUAGUAGUUUCUUUAUCAGGCAGCCUCAUUCCUCAUUUAGCAUCCAAUUAAUAAAGUUGCUAUUGACAA